rnacentral:RNase_P_RNA from 1 species
UGAGUUUGUUAUACGGUCGCGGGGUCAUAUGACCAUGAGGAAAGUCCGAGCAGCACAGGACAGGGUGCUUGAUAACGUCAAGUAGAGGCGACUUUCAGGACAGUGCAACAGAAAUAAACCGCCGAAUAUUUCGGUAAGGAUGGAAAGGCGAGGUAAGAGCUCACCGAUAUCGUGGUGACACGGUAUGCCAUGUAAACCCCACCCGCUGCAAGAUUGGGCGUUCGUCAAUAGGGCUGUCCGUCCGACGAACCGCCGUGAAUAUCGCUUGAGCUUGUCGGCAACGGCAAGUCUAGAUAAAUGACCGUACACGACAGAACUCGGCUUACAGACAGACUCAAAUC